UACAGAGGUCUCAAGCGUUGUUCGGAUUCAUUGGGCGUAAAGGGCGCGUAGGCUGCGGGGUAAGUCGGGUGUGAAAUCUCAGAGCUCAACUCUGAAACUGCACUCGAUACUGCUCUGCUUGAGGACUGGAGAGGAGAUUGGAAUUCACGGUGUAGCAGUGAAAUGCGUAGAUAUCGUGAGGAACACCUGCGGCGAAGGCGGGUUGCUGGGCCGACACUGACGCUGAUGCGCGAAAGCUAGGGGAGCGAACGGG
rnacentral:rRNA from 1 species